rnacentral:rRNA from 1 species
CAGCCGCCGCGGUAAUACAGAGGGUGCGAGCGUUAAUCGGAUUUACUGGGCGUAAAGCGUGCGUAGGCGGCUUCUUAAGUCGGAUGUGAAAUCCCUGAGCUUAACUUAGGAAUUGCAUUCGAUACUGGGAAGCUAGAGUAUGGGAGAGGAUGGUAGAAUUCCAGGUGUAGCGGUGAAAUGCGUAGAGAUCUGGAGGAAUACCGAUGGCGAAGGCAGCCAUCUGGCCUAAUACUAACGCUGAGGUACGAAAGCAUGGGGAGCAAACAGGAUUAGAUACCCCCGUAGUCCCUGUCUCUUAUAC